rnacentral:lncRNA from 1 species
UGGAAAUCGACCUGGUUUUCUUCUUAGGGUCCUCACUACUCACUCGUAACAUACAGAGUCUCCAAUAAGAGUCUGUACUCCAGGUGUGUGUGUAUAUAUACAGAGUCUCCAAUAAGAGUCUGUACUCCAGGUGUGUGUAUAUAUAUACAGAGUCUCCAAUAAGAGUCUGUACUCCAGGUGUGUGUGUAUAUAUAUACAGAGUCUCCAAUAAGAGUCUGUACUCCAGGUGUGUGUGUGUAUACAGAGUCUCCAAUAAGAGUCUGUACUCCAGGUGUGUGUGUGUGUGUAUACAGAGUCUCCAAUAAGAGUGAUUCUGAACUCCAGGUGGGGCUGCACAUUGGUGGUGGUGGAGGGGAGUCCCCAUUACCU